rnacentral:rRNA from 1 species
AACGAACGCUGGCGGCGUGCCUAACACAUGCAAGUCGAGCGCGAAAAGAGCAAUCUGAGUAGAGCGGCGCACGGGUGCGUAACACGUGGGUAAUCUGCCUCAGGGUUGAGGAUAACCUUCCGAAAGGUUGGCUAAUACUCGGUAAGCUUACGGUGUCUUCGGAUAUUGUGAGAAAAGUAGACCUCUAUUUAUAAGUUUACGCCCAGAGAUGAGCCCGCGGCCCAUCAGCUAGUUGGCGGGGUAACGGCCCACCAAGGCAACGACGGGUAGCGGGUGGGAGAGCAUGACCCGCCUCACUGGGACUGAGACACUGCCCAGACACCUACGGGUGGCUGCAGUCGAGAAUCUUCGGCAAUGGGCGCAAGCCUGACCGAGCGAUGCCGCGUGCGGGAUGAAGGCCUUCGGGUUGUAAACCGCUGUCGAGGGGGAGCAACUUCCAUAGAGUUAUCUUUAUGGAUUGAGUGAUCCCUGGAGGAAGGACGGGCUAAGUUCGUGCCAGCCGCCGCCGUAACAC